rnacentral:rRNA from 1 species
AGAGUUUGAUCCUGGCUCAGGACGAACGCUGGCGGCGUGCCUAACACAUGCAAGUCGAACGGAACUAUUAUGACUGAUUCCUUCAGGGAUGAAGAAUAUUGAGUGAAUAUGGCGGACGGGUGAGUAACGCGUGAGUAACCUGCCUCUGAGAGGGGAAUGACGUUCUGAAAUGAACGCUAAUACCGCAUAACACAUAUGGGCCGCAUGACAGAUAUGUCAGAGAUGGUAUCGCUCGGAGAUGGACUCGCGUCCGAUUAGUGAGUCUGGUGAGGUAACGGCUCACCAACACCGUGAUCGGUAGCCGGACUGAUAGGUAGAACGGCCACAUUGGGACUGAUACACGGCCCAGACUCCUACGAGUAUGCAGCAGUGGGGGAUAUCGCGCAAUGGGGGCAACCCUGACGCAGCAACGCCGCGUGAAUGAUGAAGGUCUGCGGAUUGUAAACUAUCUUGAUCAGGGACGAACUCUGACGGUACCUGAUGAAUAAGCUCCGGCUAACUACGUGCCAACAUCCGCGGUAAUACGUAGGGAGCAAGCGUGGUCCGGAUUUACUGGGUGUAAAAGGUGCGUAAGCGGAUAUCUAAGUCAGAUGUGAAAUCUAUGGGCUCAAACCAUAAACUGCAUUUGAAACUAGAGAGCUUGAGUGAACUAGAGGCAGGCGGAAUUCCCUGUCUAGCGGUGAAAUGCAUAGAGAUAGGGAGGAACACCAGUGGCGAAGGCGGCCUGCUGGGCUGUAACUGACGCUGAGUCACGAAAGCGUGGGUAGCUAACAGGAUUAGAUACAUUGGUAGUCCACGCUGUAAACGAUGAUUAAUAGGUGUGGGGGGAAUGACCCAUUCCGUGCCGGAGUUAACACAAUAAGUAAUCCAUCUGGGGAGUACGUCCGCAAGGUUGAAACUCAAAGGAAUUGACGGGGGCCCGCACAAACAGUGGAGUAUGUGGUUUAAUUCGAAGCAACGCGAAGAACCUUACCAGGUCUUGACAUCCAACUAACGAGAUAGAGAUAUAUCAGGUGCCCUUCGGGGAAAGAUGAGACAGGUGGUGCAUGGUUUUCGUCAGUUCGUUUCGUGAGAUGUUGGGUUAAGUCCCGCAAGGAGCGCAACCCUUGUUAUUAGUUGUUACGCAAGAGCAUUUUAAUAGGACUCCCGUUGACAAAACGGAGGAAGGUGGGGACGACGUCAAAUCAUCAUGCCCCUUAUGACUUGGGUAACACACGUAUUACAAUGGCCAUCAACAGAGGGAAGCAAAACAGCGAUGUGGACCAAACCCAUAAAAAUGGUCUCAGUUCAGAUUGCAGGCUGCAACCCGCCUGCAUGAAGUCGGAAUUGCUAGUAAUCGCGGAUCAGCAUGCCGCGGUGAAUACGUUCNCCGGGCCCUUGUACACACCGCCCGU